UACAGAGGUCUCAAGCGUUGUUCGGAUUCAUUGGGCGUAAAGGGCGCGUAGGCGGUGCGGUAAGUCACCUGUGAAACCUCUAGGCUUAACCUAGAGCCUGCAGGCGAAACUGCCGUGCUGGAGUGUGGGAGAGGUGCGUGGAAUUCCCGGUGUAGCGGUGAAAUGCGUAGAGAUCGGGAGGAACACCAGUGGCGAAGGCGGCUACCUGGACCAGCACUGACACUGAAGCACGAAAGCGUGGGGAGCAAACAGG
rnacentral:rRNA from 1 species